CCGAAAUCUAAUUGGCAAUUAGGUUUUAUUAGAAGCAAUAAAAAAACACAAACAAUUGGACAAAACAUUCAAAAUCCUCCAAAUCUCCUUCAUUUUCAGACAUUAUUACAGAGUAUGUUCAAGCACACCUCCAGAAUUGGUGUUCUGGGGGAUUUUUAACUACUUUUUUAAGUUACUGAGUGAAUUGAAACGUCAAAUAUUAAUAAUAAUAAAUUGAGGAGAACAGAAGGGAAAAUGUUAUGAGAUAAUAAAGUUUGCAUUAUCAUAAUUUUCAGCUAAAGAGGAAGGAUAGGAGACUUCAUCUGUUAGCUAUUGUUUUUAAAGCAAAUACUUAAUAAAACUUCAGUGGAGAAAAGAUGGCCAUAUGCCAGUUUUAAAUGUUUAUUUAUAGGAUCUCAAUGGCUGUAAAGAUACGAUUGUGACUUUAUGCCUCCCUUUCUUUCUUUUUUCUCCUUUCUUUUAUAUGCCCUACAGGUCACAGAAAUAGAGAUGAUAAUUAUGAUGAAUUAUCUCCCAAUUAUAAUAGGCAGUGCCAUUGGAGGCUUGUGCUUGCUUAUUCUCUGCAUUAUAGUACUUUACAAGUGUGGAUUCUUCAAACGGAAUUAUAAACAGAAGAUAGAACUUCAAGGAGAACAUGAGAAUGCUGUACAAGCAGCUGACAAUCUAGAAGAUGGUGCAGAGAAAGAAGGUUCUAAGACCGAGAAAGAGAACCCAAGCAAACUUACAGAACCAUUGAAUUCAGAAAAUGAGACCCAAUGAUUGAAUAAUGUUUCUCUCCAGAGACUAUAGCCGAGCUAUUUGUUAUUAAAUGUUCAGCGUGUGCGGAGUAGGAGUAUGGGGGGGGGGGGUAGGGAAGGUGGGAGCCAGGUGACUGUGAUGCUGGUAAUGAAGACUUCCUUUUUCCUUUCAGAAACAAAAAAAGCUAUUGUUGAAUUUAUUUCAAGUGCUUCUACUGGCCAUCUUAGAAAAAAAGCAAUAAUAUGUGUUUACCGAGGCAGAUGGCAGGUACACAUGAUGAGAGGACCAGAAUAAAAUGCAGGCAGGCAAAUAUGUUUGUCUGUUUUCUCUACUAGUCCCUUGAUCUGAGACAAAUCUGCUGUUUUAUGUGCAUACUGUCAUGAGAUUAUUUUCUAGAGAAUAUAGAUUUUGGGAUUUUGGCCUUUGGUUUGUCUUAUCAGUUGCACAGCAGAAAUGGGUAAGACUUAAAAGGGGAACUGUCUGAAUUCUACCUACCCCACUUGGCAAGGGAUGAAAGAAACUCUCUGGAAUUCUGGACAGUAAGUACCAACAGACAGUUAGAGAAGAAAAUGUCAAGCUCCAAAACCAAGAAAAAUGUGCUGAGUUAAUCCAAAGCAUUUCCUUUAUUAUUCCUCAUCUAUGGACAGAAAUCUUGCCACACUAAAGCAAACUACUAGCAUCAAUAAAGAUAUACUCCAAGUUGCUACCUUCAGCCUCUUCCUCCCAAUCGAACUGUCUAAACUUUGCUGUCUCUCGGUCUUCUGGAAUGCAGUCCCUCCCAUCUCAGAAUCCAGACUACAUUCCGCCACAUUAAUUCCCCUUGGAGAUUACAAGGGCCAAAUCCAACCACCAGUUAUCACUUCAGCUUUCUUACCAGAGUCUAAAAUACUUAUCUUAGCAAUUCUCAAAUGAAUGGGAGGAGAGAAGACAGAAUGGCUUGGACCCUGGUCAGGAGCUUCACUAUCUUAGGCACUAUUAUGGCCCUGCAGGAUGUCUCUAAAUACUCUUAAUUUGAUUUAUAUUUCUUCCCAUGUUUAGUAUGAAAGGAAACAUAAAAAGGGAUGGGAACCUCCACCCCCAAACAUAGAAACAAAAAACAAGAAGAGUAACAAAUGACAAUCUGUUGCUGGCUAAACCCUUGGAAAUAGUAAAGCAUUCUGCCAUCAGAAAAUUUGGAGCAGAACAUAAUCUGUUAAGGAUCCAAUUUAAAAAAAAAGGCAGUGUGUGUCAUCAAACUUAUAUGGCUUUCAAACUCUGGCAUUGUUUGAACUUUCUAUUGAUCACUUUUGCAUUUAUUUUUAAUCUGUGUUAAAAUAUUUUUGGGAAAAAAAAUUUAAUUUCUAUUUUCCUCACCAAUUUACAGUAAGGGCUUUCUUAAAUAUAUA
ensembl:lncRNA